UACGUAGGGUGCGAGCGUUAAUCGGAAUUACUGGGCGUAAAGCGUGCGCAGGCGGUUCGUGAUGUCUGGUGUGAAAGCCCCGGGCUUAACCUGGGAAUUGCAUUGGAAACUAGCGGGCUGGAGUGUGGCAGAGGGGGGUGGAAUUCCACGUGUAGCAGUGAAAUGCGUAGAGAUGUGGAGGAACACCGGUGGCGAAGGCAGCCCCCUGGGCUAACACUGACGCUCAUGCGCGAAAGCGUGGGGAGCAAACAGG
rnacentral:rRNA from 1 species